rnacentral:misc_RNA from 1 species
GAUAUCAUCUGGAUCCGAGUCAUGGUGAGUCAGUCCUUGGCUCAGUGAACUCGACGUUGAUUCCUUGUUCUCUGCCAUUUCAUUCACUUUACUCCUUCCUUUGCCUGGCUCUUCAAUUCAGUUCUAGUAUUCUUCGUCUUCUCUUCUGAUAUUCUCUGGUAAACUCCAUUUCCGUGUUGGUUGGUUUUGCUAUCGUUUGGAUCUGCGGAUAACUAUAUUCCAGUUCUGAAAUAGGACUAUCCUAGUCCAUGAGAAGUUAAACAGUUUUUGAAUUACCAGUCAUAAAACCGUUUAAGCAGUUACUUAUUGAGUCUGCUAAAAACCUAAGGCUCUACUGUCCUGCUUCCUUUCACCUCCUUGCAUGGCGGACCAGCACCAACAAACCACCACUAUCUCCAAAACCUUCCCUGUCAAAGCCAAACUAAAACCCAAAUCCAGAACCCAAGCAACAUUUGGUGUCUGGUGGCGAUGACGCGAUUGUUAAGCACGGGAUGAUGCUGGAGACAGUGUACUUAUGGACUUGGUGGGUCAUAAGGAUUAAGUGAAUUGCGGAGAUUGC